rnacentral:rRNA from 3 species
CAAAAUGAAUCAAAACUUUCAACAACGGAUCUCUUGGUUCUGGCAUCGAUGAAGAACGCAGCGAAAUGCGAUAAGUAAUGUGAAUUGCAGAAUUCAGUGAAUCAUCGAAUCUUUGAACGCACAUUGCGCCCGCCAGUAUUCUGGCGGGCAUGCCUGUCCG